UACGUAGGGCGCAAGCGUUAUCCGGAAUUAUUGGGCGUAAAGAGCUCGUAGGCGGUUUGUCGCGUCUGCCGUGAAAGUCCGGGGCUCAACUCCGGAUCUGCGGUGGGUACGGGCAGACUAGAGUGAUGUAGGGGAGACUGGAAUUCCUGGUGUAGCGGUGAAAUGCGCAGAUAUCAGGAGGAACACCGGUGGCGAAGGCGGCUCUCUGGACCUGUCCUGACGCUGAGGCGCGAAAGCUAGGGGAGCGAACAGG
rnacentral:rRNA from 1 species